GAUGAAGAACGCAGCGAAAUGCGAUAAGUAAUGCGAAUUGCAGAAUUCCAGUGAGUCAUCGAAUCUUUGAACGCACAUUGCGCCCCUUGGUAUCCCGAGGGGCAUGCCUGUUCGAGCGUCAUUUCACCACUCAAGCCUGGCUUGGUGUUGGGCGACGUCCCCUUUGGGGACGCGCCUCGAAACGCUCGGCGGCGUGGCACCGGCUUUAAGCGUAGCAGAAUCUUUCGCUUUGGAAGUCGGGGCCCCGUCUGCCGGAAGACCUACUCGCAAGGUUGACCUCGGAUCAGGCAGGGAUACCCGCUGAACUUAAGCAUAUCAAUAAGCGGAGGA
rnacentral:misc_RNA from 1 species